rnacentral:rRNA from 1 species
UCGUAACAAUGGUUCCGUAGGUGAAGCUGCGGAAGGAUCAUUGUCGAAACCUGCGAGAGCAGAAAGACCCGCGAACCCGUUCACAAACACCGGGGGCGCGGCGCCGGCCCCGUGCCGGCCCCGCGGCCCCCGAGCCCGGGCUCGUCCCGGCACCAACACACCCCCGGCGCGGAUUGCGCCAAGGACCAUGAACAUAAGCGCGCCCCGCCCCGUCGGUCCUCCGGCGCGGGCGGCGGCGUCGUGUCGUUUCUACCUAACAAAACGACUCUCGGCAACGGAUAUCUCGGCUCUCGCAUCGAUGAAGAACGUAGCGAAAUGCGAUACUUGGUGUGAAUUGCAGAAUCCCGUGAACCAUCGAGUCUUUGAACGCAAGUUGCGCCCGAAGCCCUCGUGGCCAGGGCACGUCUGUCUGGGCGUCACGCACCGCGUCGCCCCCACCCCCUCCGGGGGGCCGGGGCGGAGACUGGCCCCCCGUGCGCGCCCGCGCGCGGCCGGCCUAAACGCAGACCCCGCGGCCGCGAAACGGCGCGACGAUUGGUGGAGUAGUCCCUACGCAUCGCGUCGCGCCCCGAGCGGUCCCCGGCGGCCAAGGAACGACCCCCGACAACCGUUGCGACCCCAGAUCAGGGCGGGACUACCCGCUGAGUUUAAGCAUAUCAAUAA